UACGAAGGGGGCUAGCGUUGCUCGGAAUCACUGGGCGUAAAGCGCACGUAGGCGGAUCGUUAAGUCAGGGGUGAAAUCCUGGAGCUCAACUCCAGAACUGCCUUUGAUACUGAAGAUCUUGAGUUCGGGAGAGGUGAGUGGAACUGCGAGUGUAGAGGUGAAAUUCGUAGAUAUUCGCAAGAACACCAGUGGCGAAGGCGGCUCACUGGCCCAUAACUGACGCUGAGGCACGAAAGCGUGGGGAGCAAACAGG
rnacentral:rRNA from 1 species